AUUGUUCUGAAACUCUCCUGGCCGGUUUUCCUGCAUCCUUGGUGAAGUUUCUCUCUCAUAUACUCAUACGUCCAGAAGUAGACACCAUGGGAUGGUCCAUCCCUUAGCACAGUGAUGGUGAAACCUCGCUGAAGACGGAUUUUCACUAGCUCAAUGGGACUGAUAAUUACACUUUGUAUUACCCCGGCUCCAAUUCCUCCUAGAGUAACCCCUGUGUAUGAUGGAGGGUCACCAGCCUGAACAUUCGUGUCAACUGCUCGUGAUAGUGUAGCGUAUGUCUUGAAAACUAUGGCAUUCUGCAGUUUGAAGCUAAGUUUUUUGGUUUCGCCCCCAUUGGACUUCCAUCCUGGGUCCGCUACUGCGGGGAACAUAAAUUGAAUGAUAAAAUGAAAGAAGAACAAGAACC